rnacentral:rRNA from 1 species
GACGAACGCUGGCGGCGUGCCUAAUACAUGCAAGUAGAACGCACAGUUUAUACCGUAGCUUGCUACACCAUAGACUGCGAGUUGCGAACGGGUGAGUAACGCGUAGGUAACCUGCCUGGUAGCGGGGGAUAACUAUUGGAAACGAUAGCUAAUACCGCAUAAUAUUGAUUAUUGCAUGAUAAUUGAUUGAAAGAUGCUAUUGCAUCACUACCAGAUGGACCUGCGUUGUAUUAGCUAGUAGGUGAGGUAACGGCUCACCUAGGCGACGAUACAUAGCCGACCUGAGAGGGUGAUCGGCCACACUGGGACUGAGACACGGCCCAGACUCCUACGGGAGGCAGCAGUAGGGAAUCUUCGGCAAUAGACGAAAGUCUGACCGAGCAACGCCGCGUGAGUGAAGAAGGUUUUCGGAUCGUAAAGCUCUGUUGUAAGAGAAGAACGGGUGUGAGAGUGGAAAGUUCACACUGUGACGGUAUCUUACCAGAAAGGGACGGCUAACUACGUG